GACGAACGCUGGCGGCGUGCUUAACACAUGCAAGUCGAGCGGAGCGGCGAACGGGUGAGUAACGCGUGAGUAACUGCCCCCCUCUCUGGGAUAACAGUUGGCAACGGCUGCUAAUACCGGAUAGUGGGGGAUGACUCGCGUCAUAUCAGCUUGUGGGUUGGGUAGUGUCCGACCAAGCCGACGACGGGAAGCCGGCCUGAGAGGGCGACAGGAAACAUGGGGCUUGGACAAGGUCCCAAAUCAGACGGGAGGCAGCAGUGGGGAAUAAUGCACCAUGGGGGAAACCCUGAUGCAGCAGCGCCGCGAGCGAGAUGACGGACUUCGGGUUGGAAACCGCUUUAAGCCAUGACGCGGUAGUGGCAGAAGAAGCACCGGCUAACUACGUGCCAGCAGCCGCGGUAAUUC
rnacentral:rRNA from 1 species